UUGUACAGUCACUGGGAUACACAGCUAUUGCAGCUAAGAUACGCUGCAAAUGAGCUCAAAUUAGCAGUGCUGAGUUUGAUCAGGGAACACAUAGUCUGUAUUUAAAGACCACAUAGUUUGUGGUAAAAGAUAUCCUUAGAAUUCAAAACGCAUUUUGUAUAACUGUGAAUUUACAAAAUCUACAGCAAAAGUGGUGAUUAAUGCAACACUGAACAGUGUCAAGAGACUAAAAUAUUUCCAACGCAGUGACUUCCUACAUAUUUAUAGAGUAAAAUGUAGCAUUUUAGAGACAUUAGGCUAGGGCAUUCAAGUUAAUCUGAAGACCAGAAAAUGAAAGAUGUAACUUAACUGAUAUGAGAUAUUGAGUUCCUACUGAGUACAAUUCUUUGGAAGAUUAGACUAAUACAUACAUGAAAGACAGGGAAAGGACAUUCCUCCUCAAGCUGUCAGAAUGGCCUUAAACACUGAGCGAAGGCAGUGCUGUCUUAAUGAAGAUAUCUGGAGCAGCCAUUCAGGAGAAGCAGGGCAACCAUAGCCUGUGUACAGCAUGUCUUGGGAAUGUUUAUCAACUCCACCAUUUAGAAGACUUUACUGGUCACUCUACAUUUCUUGUUUUUAUUCCUCUGGAGGGGUCGAAUGCCCUUUCAUGUAUUUGUAUGAAUAAAGUAUCACAUUUAUGAUUU